rnacentral:rRNA from 1 species
CAGCCGUAAACUAUGCGCGUUAGGUGUAUCGGUGACCACGAGUUACCGAGGUGCCGAAGGGAAACCGUGAAACGUGCCGCCUGGGAAGUACGGUCGCAAGGCUGAAACUUAAAGGAAUUGGCGGGGGGAGCACCACAACGGGUGGAGCCUGCGGUUUAAUUGGACUCAGCGCCGGGAAGCUCACCGGAUAGGACAGCAGAAUGAUUGCCGGGCUGAAGACCCUGCAUGACUAGCUGAGAGGAGGUGCAUGGCGUAGACGUCU